ensembl:lncRNA
GCCUGAUUUGCAGAGCCAAGAUUUGCACUUGGGUCAGUCUGGCUACAGCUUCCCGUACUUGCUCUCACCCUGACACCUCUGUUUGCCUCUGAACUCUCCUGACAGCAUUACCCAUCGUCCCCAACUAUGGAGAAAUGAGCGCUAGAGCUAGAGUCUGGAGGUCAGGUCUGAGUCUUACUUCUGUCCUGUCCACAUCUGCUGACCUUGAGUGAACCCAUAUUGUUGGCAGUAAAUUGAGACUUGGGUUUGCUGCUCCCACCUAAGCGAACUUUGUUGAUCAAACGUGAUUAGGAGUGCUGGAAGAAUUGGAUCCACUGUGCGGUUAUUGGUGGUGUUCUGGUUGGUGUUUCUAACACCCGAGCCUCAGGGUUACUGUAUUCCUGGACUGGCAUUUGACCUGCAGUGCCUUGUUCUGGCAGCCGGGUGCCCUUUAUGGAAUCCAUUUGUGCAAGUAACUUUCCGAUGAAGUGGCUUCCUGUGGGUGCAUUGUCAGGCAAAGGAAUGCUUUCAUUGAUCUGCUGAUGAGUACCUCCUGCCGGAUGCCUGCUUUUAUCAACUUAGUUCUCGCUGUGUAUCAAGUUCCUGGAAGCCGGUCCAAGUGAAUCUGCCUCUGACGUGUAUUCAGACCCUGCCCAGGACAACGUCAGGUUCCAGCCUGGUCCGUGAGGAGCCUUCUGGCAGGACUGACCUCUCCUUCCUCUGUGCCCCUCUUCUGGUAUCUAUUUCAUUCUGCUCAGACCGCGGUCUCCAUGCCGCCGCCUUCCUCCCCAUUCCUCCCACUGGGAGCUCCCGGAGGACUGCGCCGUGCUCCACUGUGGGUGUCUAAUGUGAUGCCUGGUGCCCAGCCGGAGCUCAGUAAGAAUGGGCCGAAUGAAGACUGACUCUGACCAAGGACAAAGGUCCCUUCCCGAGCCCCAGUCCAGGUUCAAGGCCCCAAACAGGAAUAUUCUCCAAAGUUUAGUUCAGUUGAUCAGUCGUGUCCGACUCUUUGCGGCCCCAUGG